UACAGAGGUGGCAAGCGUUGUCCGGAAUCAUUGGGCGUAAAGCGCGUGUAGGCGGCCAGGUAGGUCUGCUGUGAAAACUCGAGGCUCAACCUCGAGCUGUCGGCGGAAACCCUCUGGCUAGAGUCCGGAAGAGGCGAGUGGAAUUCCUGGUGUAGCGGUGAAAUGCGCAGAUAUCAGGAGGAACACCAGUGGCGAAGGCGGCUCACUGGCCCGGAACUGACGCUGAGGUGCGAAAGCGUGGGGAGCAAACAGG
rnacentral:rRNA from 1 species